rnacentral:lncRNA from 1 species
CACUUGUGUGUGUUUCAUUUAGUUUCAUUUCCAAAACUAUUUUAUUAAUGACUCAAGAACUGAAAUUUAUUUAGGAUUUUUCCACUUUAAAUUUAUUUAUUCAAAGUAAUAGAGACGUUGUCUUCAGUGUUCUAAGGAACUGGAAUUCAAAAAGGACCAAAAAUGGUAAUAAGUCAGGGUAAAGUCUUUUAUAUGGUUUCACUGAUUAAUCACGAAUUUUACAGAGCAAUGCAUAUAUACGAUGAAAAAGAGAAUUAACAGGCUGUAAUACAGUAUUGGCAGCAGCGGAGCUAAGGUCAGGCGAAGUUGAGCAGCAACCUUAUUGCUAGCCAUUCUUCCUUGCAGAUCUCAGCUGUAAUCCAUAGAGAUUGUUAAAGCCUCAGGUGAAGGAUGGGCGACAACGGUGGCUGUUAUCCUGAGGAGCAGAUGGUAGAGUGAGUGACACCUAUAAAUGUGCAGGCUGUGCUGCUUCAGUGACAAGAUGCUAAACCCUUCUGGCACCGAAGUAAAAAGACAGCCACAGGACGAAUUCUAUGACCAGGCCUCUCCAGACAAGCGGACCGAAGCAGACGGCAACUCUGACCCCAACUCCGGUGAGUCUUUUAAAAAUUUUGACCCUUUGGAGUUGUGGUUUCGUUGCACAGGUGAGCAUUAAACAGUGAUAUGAG